rnacentral:lncRNA from 1 species
UUGUUUCCUUAAAGGUGAAAAUUUUUGCUUGCAACAACAAGAGGUUGCCUACAUACAUUCUCUUCCCCACACUAGCAAAUAUGUCACCAAAUAUAAUUUAUAUCUGUACCUCAAAGGAUGGAGAAAGAUUUAUUUUAAUGAGCAUCUUAAGAAGCUUAAUGGCAUUCUUGUUCUUUUUAUCUCUGGUAGUGCUGGAAGUUACAAACUGGCAAGUCCCCUCUUAUUUAUCUUUUGCUGUCGGGCAUAUUCUAAGAUGAUUUCUUAGGAUCAAUAGUAAACUAAAGUUGGUCUUAAGCUUGAUCAUGGCUCACUAAAAGAAACUAGGCAAAUAGCCAUCCAAAAGUUGUCUACUUCUAUUCUUAUCUUUGUAUCUCUUGUGAGGAUGGAUGUUAAAAUUACAUUACUAUUUGUAUUUAUUGGUGAGUACGAUGAGCUUUUGUUAAGAAAAUCUUUUUCUAAAUAGGUAGAGCGAACAAUUUACUCAAUGCAUGGUGGUUUUGUAUUACUAAAACAUUCUUAUAUGAUGAUGCAAUGCCAUAUAGGUUCUAAAUUUCUAUAUGAUUCUUAGGUUAUAUGAUAAUGGUGAAAGCAAAUGCUCUGUUUGUAAAUUGAUUAAGAAUGCUUAAAGUUUAGAUUGAUAUUUGCUAAUUGGGUAUCUAUUGUUUUUCUGCUUUUCCCUCAUUGAUUGAUAUUUGCUAAUGGGGUAUCUAUUUUUCUGCUUUUCCCUCAUUGAUUAGGUGACAUCCUUGGCUGCAGAAUCUGAUAGAGGUUACCAAAUAGGCAUAUUGUUAUGAAGCUUACUACGGUCAUUUCGAUUGCCUACAAUUAAUCCUUUCUGCUGCUCAUUGUACCCUGGUUGCAUAAUCUUGUUAACUAUUUCUUACCUAUGUUACCUUACACUCAUAUACACCAAUGUUUGUCUAUUCAAAACAAUGAGCUAAUUAUUGUGCUCAAAUAGGAGGUCAAAGGAUUUUUGAGAUUUGUUAAUAUAAGAGAUGGAAGUGGUGCAACUCCGUUGAAUUCGGCAGUUUGUCAAGGAUGACGAAUUUGUGUUCAUAUUCUAUUGAGCAGUUGGGCUUUUGUAUGUGUCUAUGGUGGAUAUAUGUACUUUUAUCCAGUUCUUUAGCAUUUUCCUUGUCUAUAUCAGUUAUAAUGACAACAAUAGUUGCAGCAACCCAGGGAACACACCUCUUCAUUUUGGCUGCAUGGGAUGGUUCUUUGGACUAUCUGAGAAUUGCUUGCUUGAGGUGCUGAAGUUGUUUUGGAUGUGAAAUUAACAGGAACAAACUUAACAAACUACUUUUGAUCUGUAAGACAUAGAAUUCUGUUUAACAUGAUCCUCUUUCCAUCAUGAUGAAUAAUUUCCCUGACCUCCUUUAUUCAGCCGUGUCUGCACACCAGGCUUCCACCUUAAUUUUAUUGAAAAUCUCACAGUAAAGGCAAAGUUCUUAUUGUUAUUGUGUUUUAAUGAUCAACGAGACGUGAGUUAUUGCGUUUAUGAUGCAUUGUUUAAAGUUUAUAUAAGAUGUAGAUGCAAUUAAAUUCAUUAAGGUUUUUCUUUAUUUCCAAGUCCAGUAAUAUUUGUUUGUUUUCUUAUUUCCAAGUCAUUGUAUGGUAUGAAAAAAAAUGCCUGUUUUACCUCAAUAUAAUAUUUGAAGAACUUUCGCCCCUUUUGCUCUGUCAAAUAAAUUUUUAAUAUCAGUUCAUGAACAUGCGAAAUAUCCUGUUUACUCGCAUAUAAAAAUUCUAGAUAGUCCCACAAUUCUUUUACGGUAUCACAAUGAUUAAUGACAUUUUUAACUGUCGGGUCAAGUGUAUUUUGAAUCUGAUUGAAGAGUUUAUCAUUCUCCAUUAGAAAUUUUUUUCGGAUCCCAGAAUUAGUAUUAGAUUGUGGAGGUGGGUCAUUAGUUAAGUGAUUGUCGAAAUCCACACUUGACACGUACCUGCGGACAAUUCUCUUCCAUUGAGCAUAAUUCUUACUGUCCGUUAACUUUCAAUCUGUGAUUUUUGAGGACGGAGUUACUGUAAUUUCAUUUACCACUUUCUUAUCACUUUCUACCAUGAUUAACUGAAGACCAAAAAAAGGACCACAAAAGAGAGCCGCCCAAAUAAAAUAAGUCAAUCCAAAAUUUAAAAUAAAACUGACCCACUGGAAAGCCCAAGCUAACUGACCCAAAUGAAUGAAAGCCCAAACUGUUCCAAACUGAUGAAAUAUCAAAUCGUCCAAAGCCAAUAUCAUUCGAGUGCUCGAAUCGAAUCAGCCACCGGAGAAGAGAACCGAUCGACGAAGCAAAAGAACCUCCAAAUCAGAAACACACAAGAGCGAAUCCAAAGCAGAAACAGCCAAAGAACUGAUCGACGAAGCCAAAGAACCUCCACAAUCACACCGAAGCUUCCCACGAACUGCUUGAACCAGUGGGAAUCCAAAUCGGAAACACAGAACGGCUCUGGAUGCUCGUUGCAGAGUAGCCUCCACAAUACCGAAGCCUAUUCUGAUCUUCAGCCGCCGAUAAGUGACCAGUAAGUGUCGUUUUUUAUUUAUUUUUAUUUUUUGCUUUUAACCAAUAGUACCGCCCAAACCUUUGCACCACCACCGACAAUCCCUCAGAUUUUCAGAAACUCUCAAACCCUAAUUUAGAGAAUUAGGCUCUGAUACCAUGCUAAUUGAUUUGGAAAAAUCUCACCUUCAAGUUUAUUCACCAACCGGUAACACACACACACACACACACAUGAGAAGGAUAUUUCUCAAAAGGAAAUAAUCCUACCUAGUAAGAAAAUAAUUCUAGAUUUAUAUUCCUACCAUCUACAUCACGUUUACACCUAAACUAAUGCACACGGUUCAUAAUAGUCAUUUUAAAAUCUAAUCGACUUUUUUUUCAUUAGCCCAUCAGCCAUCACAGUGCAAAAUCAAUACAGUAAAAAUUAGAGUGUAAUUGGACAAAACAUUGACAAGAUUACGUGAAAAAGAAGACAUUGAAUAAGAAUAAAACAUCUCGUCUCGAAAUUCUCUCGUGUCAAUCCUUCACAACUCGAAACAUUAACUUCACCUUAAAAGAAACUCACUCCGUGCUUCGCACGGGCACAACACUAGUACUGGAAGAAAUUUUUAAUUGAACAAAGAUCUUACAACAACCUCUAUUGUGCUCUAACUUGGCGAUGAUUUAUGAAAGCUUUCCUUUUGUUUUAACUGAUCAAAUAAUUUAACAGAUCGCUCAUGGUGUUCGAACUAAUGGCAUUAAAGUUAUUACUUAGGAAAAACACUUUCUUCCUUCUGUCUUCCCGGUACACAUUUGUAUAAAUCUUUGUCAAAAGAAGUGGAUAGAAGAUCUCAUUACCUUAAAAAAAAAAAAAAAAGGGAUGCAUGCUCAUGAAAGAGAAAGAAUGAUUAAGUAGAAAAGAAUUUACUCGAUAAUAGAAUUAUGGAAAUGCUUCCUUCUUUCAUAUUUUUGAGAAAUGGGAAGAUGACUGUCGGACGGACAAGAGAUGUUAUCCAUGGAAGCGACGACGGGGUUAAUAGUGUCUCCAAGGCAACCAUUUGUGUUUUUCUUAGAUAGGUGGAGUUUGUUUAUAGAUGAUAUGAAAUGAAAUUCAAAAAAUGCCAUAUGUGUUUAAUUCCCUCUUUAUUAGAGUGUUCGACGCUCUUGUUCAUUCAAAUUCAAAGAAAUUAUUACAGAUGAAAAUAUGCAGGAAAAUCUGUAAUUGUGAUUCUGAUCGAUUUUCCUUGAGCAAUCAGAAUUGACGUAAAUUAAUGAACUCUCCAACAUCGAUAUAGAAUGGAAACAAUAUUGAUCAAUCGUCUUUCCAACAACGACAUGGAAAACUAAAAGUUGGGGUUCAAAAAUAAGGAAAUUAAAGGGUUUUCUCUAAUUUUAAUUCUGCCCCUUGGUAGAAGCAUCAAUCAGAACGAUUUACAACUUUUGGGUUCAGAGAAAAUUAUAACUAUCCUGACCCUCACGCCAUGUGAGCCACGUUGUUCAGAUCCUUUACCCACUUCCUGAUUCCUGUAAUUAAUCCAAGAAAAUCUGUUUGGGACGUGGAUAAUAUUGAACUAAAAGGCAAGAAAACAUUUAUUAACCUAAAUAACUUCUGUUGGUUUUACCCAAUACUGUAUUAAUAUCUUGUACUUCCAUUUUCCCUGGACCAGAACACUCCAGACCCAUCUCCAGGAUCAUUCACCCCUUUCCUCUCCUUACACACGAAGUGGUUUCCUGCUGGGAAAGUAUAAAUUCUUGCCCCUUCUUCCUUUUUAAUGUUUUUACAUGAAUGAUUGUGUCAUUUGCGUUGGACUGUUAUUUUUAUUGUUGAAUUUUGGAACUAUUCUUGUUUUCUUGCUCUCUCUUGAAUGAUUUUGUGCAAAGGAUGGAAACUUUAAGAGGGGAAAAUUUGAAACUUCAGACUUCAGUAAUCGAAAGGUUUCUUUUCACACCUUUUAAUAAAUUUUGUAAAAUGUCGAUCCUUCUCAUACAAAAACAUUUGGAUAACAAUUUACCUUUUCUAGAUCAGGGGUUUCUGUUUUCCUUUUAUUUUCCCUGGUAUAAUAUAUAUUUACUCAUGUUAAUAAUCUCUUUGGUUGUAUGUACAAUAGCCAGUCGAUAAGUAGCAUUAUAAGGAUGCAUGAGACUAAAACCUAUUAUAUUGGGCGAUAGAUUUUUUUUAUUUUUUUGGGAUUGUUUCUGUUUUUUCUGUCAGUAAUAUUAGAUUUAUACUUUUUUCCAUUCACUUGUCAAGGGGGGUUUUGAUGUUUGAAUGAUUACCAGACUUCGAGUUCUCAGUCUGACAGAAUGGAUCAUCUGAAAAUAGAGUCUUGC